rnacentral:rRNA from 1 species
GGGGAAUAUUGCACAAUGGGGGAAACCCUGAUGCAGCAACGCCGCGUGAGUGAUGAAGUAUUUCGGUAUGUAAAGCUCUAUCAGCAGGGAAGAAAAUGACGGUACCUGACUAAGAAGCCCCGGCUAACUACGUGCCAGCAGCCGCGGUAAUACGUAGGGGGCAAGCGUUAUCCGGAUUUACUGGGUGUAAAGGGAGCGUAGACGGCACUGCAAGUCUGGAGUGAAAGCCCGGGGCUCAACCCCGGGACUGCGUUGGAAACUGUGGUGCUGGAGUGCAGGAGAGGUAAGUGGAAUUCCUAGUGUAGCGGUGAAAUGCGUAGAUAUUAGGAGGAACACCAGUGGCGAAGGCGGCUUACUGGACUGUAACUGACGUUGAGGCUCGAAAGCGUGGGGAGCAAAC